UUUCCGUAGGUGAACCUGCGGAAGGAUCAUUAGAAAAGGAAAAAAUAUAACCAAGUGCAAGAAGAGACACAGAUGAUAGUAGUAGUAUAAUAAUAUACAACAACUUUUAGCAACGGGUCUCUAGGUUCUCGCAUCGGUGAAGAACGCAGC
rnacentral:misc_RNA from 1 species